rnacentral:rRNA from 1 species
GAGUUUGACGUGGCUCAGAGCGAACGCUGGCGGCAGGCCUAACACAUGCAAGUCGAACGAACUCUUCGGAGUUAGUGGCGGACGGGUGAGUAACACGUGGGAACGUGCCUUUUGGUUCGGAAUAACUCAGGGAAACUUGUGCUAAUACCGAAUGUGCCCUUCGGGGAAGAUUUAUCGCCAUUAGAGCGGCCCGCGUCUGAUUAGCUAGUUGGUGAGGUAAAGGCUCACCAAGGCGACGAUCAGUAGCUGGUCUGAGAGGAUGAUCAGCCACAUUGGGACUGAGACACGGCCCAAACUCCUACGGGAGGCAGCAGUGGGGAAUCUUGCGCAAUGGGCGAAAGCCUGACGCAGCCAUGCCGCGUGAAUGAUGAAGGUCUUAGGAUUGUAAAAUUCUUUCACCGGGGACGAUAAUGACGGUACCCGGAGAAGAAGCCCCGGCUAACUUCGUGCCAGCCGCCGCCGUAAC